AUUGUUUGAAAAGAACGCAUUUGAUUAUUAAACGAACGAGAACGACUUUUUUUCGUUCGUUUACCGUUAAUUGUAUAGAAAAAGAGUGAUAGCGGUGAUAAACAUUAUUAUCAAUGAUACCCAUACGGCCAUUACUCUGUUCAAAAUGUCCAAAUAACUAAUAAGUUACAAGUUUGGAAAAAUUGAGGACGAAAACGCGUCGUAAUAAUAUUUAUAAAUAGUUAUACUGG